rnacentral:rRNA from 1 species
GACAGAGGAUGCAAGCGUUAUCCGGAAUGAUUGGGCGUAAAGCGUCUGUAGGUGGCUUUUUUAAGUCCGCCGUCAAAUCCCAGGGCUCAACCCUGGACAGGCGGUGGAAACUACCAAGCUGGAGUACGGUAGGGGCAGAGGGAAUUUCCGGUGGAGCGGUGAAAUGCGUAGAGAUCGGAAAGAACACCAACGGCGAAAGCACUUUACUGGGCUAUUACUGACACUGAGAGACGAAAAGCUAGGGUAGCAAAUGGG